rnacentral:rRNA from 1 species
GCACUAGACCCAACUACAGAGUAGAGUACACGGCCUUGCAUCUUCACAUCCCGAUUCACAGAAACCACUCGCAGCCAAUCUCUCGUUCUCCCACUACUAACCCUAGCCGCCGCCUGCUGCUUGCCUCGAUGCGCGCCGCACGCCCCUGUACGAAGACCGGUGCCCGAGCGGCGGCCCUGGCCGGUGAAGACCGGCGCCUGAGUGGCGGCCUUGGCAGGUGAAGACGGGCGCCGCUAGCGGCGGCCCUGAGCCCCUGACCGUGAAGACUGUCGCCCUGCGCCGCCACCAACCCCAAUCUCCCAUCGGUCGCUCCACCGCCUACGACGCGGCCGUCCGCCGCAGAUGCUCCACCUCCUGACGACCAGUACAACCACUGCAGUUCGUCACUACUCACCACUACCCGUCCUCUUCCACACGGUUCGUCCGCCGUCGGUGCUCCACCUCCCGACGACCUGCCCACUUUCGGUUCUCCACAUCGCAGCUGAAGGUGAGCUACCCCACCUCUUUGUAAUCCUGUGAGCGCUCCUGCAGAAUGUGUUUUGUAGGCAGUACAUGCCCUUGCUUUUUGUGUCAAAUGUUAGCACUUGGGGACAACAAAUAGAACACUGUAUUUGUGCUUGUUUUGUGUCAAAUGUCAGCAGCUUCAAUACUUGAUACUGCAUACACAGUAAUGCAUUUGUGCUUGUUUCCUGAAACUAGAUAUAUACAUGGUGUAUAUUUAUGCCCUUGCUUGUUUUGUGCUUGUUUCCAAUGUUCUCUUUUUUAUAGAUGUUUUCUGAACAUGAUGAGGAACUGAAUGAGAAUGAAGAUGCAUUUAUGAGUGUAGAGGUAGAUGUAGAAGCAGCAGCUGAAGAAGCAGGAGACGAAUCCGUCUUACAUAGUAGUAUUAUUGACGAUGAAGUUGCCGAACAAACAGUUGUCGAAGGUGCCAAUCUAGAAGCUGCUCAAGAUGGCAAGCCAAUUGAAGCUGAAUCAUGAAUCUUCUUACUUUGUGUCAUAUGAAUCUUGUUACUUGCUCUUGAAUGUAAACAUGUACUGGUACUUUGUUACUUGCUGUUGCAUAUAAACAUGUAUUGGUACUUUCUGCUCUCAAAUAUAAACAUGUAUUGGUACUGG